GCCACUUUAGCUCAGUUGGUAGAGCAGCUGAUUUGUAAUCAGCAGGUCGUUGGUUCGAGUCCGACAAGUGGCUCCA
rnacentral:tRNA from 1 species